UCCUGAGUCCAAGAAGAGUCCACAUUGUAAACACCAGAGAUACGAGCAGAGUUCUUGAGGAAGCAGCGACGUGACUCACAAGAAGGGGAAGCAGCUUUACGGAAUGGUGGUUCGAAGGAAACGCACAUUUCUUUGACGUGACUGUGUUUUUUUUGGGAUGAUUCAGCACAAUCCCCCUGUUCGGCUUUCACAAGGCCGUUAACCGAACAAGCGUUACCACACCGCUGGAUUUCGAGUUUGCCAAGUGGCAUUCGGAACAUGGGAAAAUAUGAUGUUGUGUUCCUGCGACGCAUAUAUAAUCACAAGACAACUGUCAUUAUGCAGUCAGUGCAAAGCUCUGCAGCGCCGGCAUUCCAGCAGGGAGGAAGGAAAGCAGUCAGACUCCGCUGACACUGAGAGAGCGCCUUUACAGCUGCUACACUGCCCCCUGUGGCCAAACGUAGGUUGCAUUUCCCCUUGUUUAAACGUUUACUUGCCGUGUGAAGACAUUGCAAGUGCGGCAAAGUGUGCGUACCUGGAUGCCGGAGGUGGUGAAGUAGGGGAUCUCGAACUUGACACUGAUUGGGGGCUUCCCCUCUUUAUCUUCAGCUUCCACACUCGGGAGACCAAAGUGGGCUCGCAUCAAAUACUCCUUCCCGCCCUGUUAUAAAAUACGUCAUAGUUUGAGGUGCAGAAUGAAUCAGACAGGAGGGGUUUAAAAAUAAUAAUAAUUUGCUUUGUUUUGCUCUUCUGAGUCACACAUGUUGGCGCUUACAGGGAAGGACUUGAUGGACCAGACGAUCUCGCUGUUCUCAGGCACCCACUUGACGCUGCCAACUGUGGUCUUGAACUUGGGAGAGUCGGCGUCUGUUGGCACGGGAAUGUGGAUCUCCACAUUGUUGGCGGUGGAACGGCGUUUGAAUUGACUUUUGGCCUGAUAAAAUGGAGGGGGCGAAGGGGGGGAAACAAGCAGGUCGGGUUUGGCACGGCAUUGGCAGGAGUGACAAACCAGUUUAGAAUUUAGCUUUUGUUUGCCACCCACAUGGCAACAGGGCACAGUGUGAAUGGGAAUCACUGCGGCGGAUGACUAAUUAAUUCGUUUAAGCAGCCAAAAUCUUCACAAUAUGUAAUAAUGAUGGUGUACUCUGUGUUAUAUGCAAAUGUAAAAAAAUGACUGAGGAGCCAAGUGUGGGAACCUACCUUGAUCAUGUACUCGAUGCGACUAUGAGAAUGCUUCUCAAUGACGGAUUCAAUCCAGAUCAGCGGCUUCACCUGACACGUAAACAACUCAUAUUUGAUUUGCAUUCAGCACAGAACAGCCAUGGCUAGACGGUUUGAGAACAACACACAAUUUGCUGCUUCGGUUUUGAUGCUAAGUUGCAUAUAACCCAGAAUCUUAUGAAGUGAUAACACGACAAUUAAAAGUCCCCUUUGUCAUGAAAAUGAACGUCAUCCCAAAACACAUUUCAUUGCAUUUCAUUCAGUCCUGCCACAAAAGGACCAAUCGACAUCAAGUUAGUUAAAGGAGACCUAUUAUGCUUUUCCCACUUUGCUGAUAAAAAUGUUGUUUCAAUGUUGUAUUCUGGUGUUAAACUGUGCCAAAGUUUCAGAUAAUGCAAUGAUUUUCAACCACUGUUCCAAGGCACACUAGAAAUACUCGCAGCACACCUUUCUUCUAUUCCUGCCACGAUAUCAACUUUGUGUUCAUCUAAACAGGCCCAGGUUUCGCACAGAGUGAAAUUAUAUUGUAAUUGAAUGAGUAUCAUUUUGUAACAUUUUCUGUUAGUGUUGUGCCGCAAGAUUUUUUCCAAGCAAUGUAAAAAAAAAGUGUUGUGGCUAAAUAAAAGGUUGAAAAACAUCGAUAUCGAAUAAGGUUUGCGCAUUUGGAAGUGAGCCCUGCAAGAAG